rnacentral:rRNA from 1 species
UACGUAGGGUGCAAGCGUUAAUCGGAAUUACUGGGCGUAAAGCGUGCGCAGGCGGUGAUGUAAGACAGAUGUGAAAUCCCCGGGCUCAACCUGGGAACUGCAUCCGAAACUGCCUUGCUCGAGUAUGGGAGAGGGAAGUGGAAUUUCCGGUGUAGCGGUGAAAUGCGUAGAUAUCGGAAGGAACAUCAGUGGCGAAGGCGACUUCCUGGACCAAUACUGACGCUCAGGUGCGAAAGCGUGGGGAGCAAACAGG